rnacentral:rRNA from 1 species
CAAUAGCGUAUAUUUAAGUUGUUGCAGUUAAAAAGCUCGUAGUUGGAUUUCGGUUAAGAGCGACCGGUCCGCCGUUUGGUGUGCACUGGUUGGUUUUAACUUCCUGUAGAGGACGUGCUCUGGGUUUAACGACCUGGACUCGGAGUCUACGUGGUUACUUUGAAAAAAUUAGAGUGUUCAAAGCGGGCUUACGCUUGAAUAUUUCAGCAUGGAAUAACACUAUAGGACUCCUGUCCUAUUUCGUUGGUCUCGGGACGGGAGUAAUGAUUAAGAGGAACAGUUGGGGGCAUUCGUAUUUCAUUGUCAGAGGUGAAAUUCUUGGAUUUAUGAAAGACGAGCUUCUGCGAAAGCAUUUGCCAAGGAUGUUUNCAUUA